AUUGAACGCUGGCGGCAGGCCUAACACAUGCAAGUCGAGCGAGCGGCGGACGGGUAAGUAUUGCCUGGGAAUUGCCCAGUCGAGGGGGAUAACAGUUGGAAACGUCUGCUAAUACCUCAUACGGCUGUAUUGGUCAGGUGGGAUUAGCCAGUUGGUGAGGUAAUGGCUCACCAAGGCAACGAUCCCUAGCUGGUAUGAGAGGUUGAUCAGCCACACUGGAACUGAGACACGGUCCAGACUCAUACGGGAGGCAGCAGUGGGGAAUAUUGCACAAUGGGGGAAAGCCUGAUGCAGCCAUGCAGCGUGUGUGAAGAAGGCCUUCGGGUUGUAAAGCACGUUCAGCGAGGAGGCGUUACUCGCAGAAGAAGCACCGGCUAACUCCGUGCCAGCAGCCGCGGUAAUAC
rnacentral:rRNA from 1 species